ACGUAGGGUGCAAGCGUUAAUCGGAAUUACUGGGCGUAAAGCGUGCGCAGGCGGUUAUAUAAGACAGAUGUGAAACCCCCGGGCUCAACCUGGGAACUGCAUUUGUGACUGUAUAGCUAGAGGACGGUAGAGGGGGAUGGAAUUCCGCGUGUAGCAGUGAAAUGCUUAGAUAUGCGGCGGAACACCGAAGGCGAGGGCAACAAACUGGAACAGUUCUGACGGUGAUGCACAAAAGCGUGGGUUGCAAACAG
rnacentral:rRNA from 1 species